CCUACGGGUGGCAGCAGUGGGGAAUAUUGCACAAUGGGGGAAACCCUGAUGCAGCGACGCCGCGUGAGUGAAGAAGUAUUUCGGUACGUAAAGCUCCAUCAGCAGGGAAGCAAAUGACGGUACCUGACUAAGAAGCCCCGGCUAACUACGUGCCAACAGCCGCGGCAAUACGGAGGGGGCAAGCGUUAUCCGGAUUUACUGGGUGUAAAGGGAGCGUAGACGGCAGCGCAAGUCUGGAGGUAAAUCCCAUGGCUUAACCAUGGAACUGCUUUGGAAACUGUGCAGCUAGAGUGCAGGAGAGGUAAGCGGAAUUCGUAGUGUAGCGGUGAAAUGCGUAGAUAUUAGGAGGAACACCAGUGGCGAAGGCGGCUUACUGGACUGUAACUGACGUUGAGGCUCGAAAGCGUGGGGAGCGAACAGGAUUAGAUACCCCUGUAGUC
rnacentral:rRNA from 1 species